AGAAAGUUUCUUUCUUAUUUUAACAAAAAGAGAGUUUUUCUUUUAUCAAAAUCUAGAGAUUUAUUCUUUGGAAUUAAUACAGUGAGAGCAAAAAGCUAAAAUAGUAAAAAGUCCAUGAAUACAAGAGGUCGUUGAAGGAAGCAAUUUACAUAUUCAGAGUUCGAAGAUCACUCGGUUCUAAGAAUAAAGAUUCAGAUCAGAACUAAGGUAAAACUAUUAUUUUUUUUCUAAAAUUUGAACGAAUCUUUUUAAGAUAUUAGAGAAUCGUAGGGAUUAUUCGUAUGUUUAAAUGCCAGGAUAUACAAUUGAAGGAUAAGAUAAUCUAUUAGAAUAAAUGUUAAAAGAAAUAAAAUAAUAUCAUUUCUCAAUUAAAAAAUAUAAAUUUAUCAUCUGAAGAAUAUAAUAUAUUAAAUAAAAAAUAUGAACAAUAUGUCGUAAAUUAUUCUAAUUUAUUAGAUCAUAGAAUGGAUUUAUAUUCAAAAAUUCAAAAAUAGAAUAUAGUUCAAAAAGAAUGGGAUAUAUUGUGCAAUAUAAGAAGAAUUAUUUCAUUAAGGGUAAUAUAGACUUUUCUAUGGAUAAAUUAAAAGGAUAUAAAAUUAGGUCAAAUAGAAAAAUCUCCCAUGAAUAACACAAAUACAAGUUCACAAUGAGGCGAAAAAUAUAAUUUUGUGUCUCAUCACACCUGAGGUCAAAAUUGACGUGCUAUAUGGUAUCAGGCAAUCCAUACCGUGAUGUAUCAAGCAAUCAAUAUCACGUAAUGACGAAUAAUUACAUCACAUUGAAUAUAGUAUAAAACAAUAACUAUGAAUAAAGGUUAAGACCCCAUUACUUCCACUUGGUGUCAUAAAAUGUUAUGAUUAAUUUCAUCAGAAAUAUAAAUGGCACGCUUUAUAUUGAGGUUGAAAUUACCCCCAACUGCUUUAUAUCGCAGUCUAAAUUUUUUUAUUACUUGUUAAAAUGUUAGAAUGGGUCAUAAUCAGUUAUGUUACGGCCUAACAUAUCUAAUAUAGUCUUCUUCAAAUUAUGCUAAUACAUUACUAAGUGAUGGAGUCAGAUAUUUUUUAUUGUGGGAUUAAAAUAAGUUUAAAAUGAUAUAACAUUAAUAGUAUGUUGAGACUUUAGAGAUGAGAAGAGAGAUGGUUUAGUGGCUAAAUACUUAUGAUUGAUGCAAGCGUAGAUAGGUGGAGCAGUGACAGACGUUAGAUUUUGAUGUAAUUUACAACUCCUAGAUGUUGAAGAGGAAUGAGAAAUUGAUUAGUGAUUCUAAAUUUUAGCCUCUUGAGGAAAGCUCGAAAGAGUGCUAAGAUGGAGUCGAUAAAUGAUUCUUAGUACAUGCAUGGUAUCAUAGUAUGUUCCACGACUUAACUGGUCAAUUCAAAAAUAUUUUGUAAGUUAAAUAGCAAAACAUGUUCUUACCUUUCAAUGUUACUGUGAUUUGUGCAAGACGUCUAUACCUUUCAUUUUUUGAUAUUUUUACACAUAUUUCAUUGUGUAAAAGGUCAUUUUUAUCCAUUUUUCCAAUAAAAAUAUGAUUUUACCCCUUAUUCAAAUAAAACAGAAAGAACAGAAAAGAAAAUGUAAAGAAUUAAUUGCAACAAUAACCCCAAAUUUUCAAAAAAUUUACAAAUUAGUCACAAAUAUAUAUUUAAAAAUCAAAAGUAAAAAAUAAAAGGAAAAAAAAAGGAAGAAGAAGAAGGAAAAAAAAAAAAAAAAAAGGAAAAAAAAAAAGAAAAAAAAAAAAAAAAAAAACACCACCCUUCCUCUUUAAUGGAGCCACCGGCAAUCCAUACUCAAACCACCACCCACCGCCGACUAAAUCGCCGAAAAAUGCUCCCUAAACUCACUCUCACCGGCCACAUCUUGUGGCAUUGACAUCUUUUCCCUUUCUCAACCCUUCUGCAGCGACAACCACUGCAAUUACUCAUACACCACUUCUACCACCUGCCUAGACCAUACCACUAGCCUCAAACAAUGCUGCCUCCUCCCAGUCUCUUGCCAUAUCGACUAUGAUCGCCACUGCAAACACCACUUAUCCAGCCAACCCACACCAAGCGUUCCCCGUCGCCAACUCCGCUGCUCACCACCACCAAUCCUCGUCGCCCGACACCUCUCAAAACCAUUAGCCACCACACGACGUUGCUUCAUAACCUUACAUAACCACCCCACCCAACCACCUGUCACCACGACAAGUCCGCAAAUCUGCCUGCCGCCACCAUCUUCCUUGUCUACCUAGAUCGCCCAACUCAGUUAAGUACCAAACUUUGGAGCACAAUCGCCGCAAUCUGCACCUCUACACUUUAAGGUCUAUUAUAACUACAACUCGGUCCUUGCGAGAUUUGGCAUUAAUUGAAGAUGAGUUAAUUGCGCUGCUGUUAUAUACAGAAUACGACGGUGUCAGUGGAAUCUGAAUACCAAGGAGUGAAGAGGAACACAGGUAAUGUAUCUUGAGUUCUAAUUAUUUUUUUAUGUUUGAUUUUUAAGUAUAUAUUUGUGUCUAGUUUGUAAUUUUUCAAAAAUUAGGGGUUAUAGUUGCUAUUAACUCUUUUAUUUUUGUUUUAUUUGAAUAAAGGGUAAAUUUAUCUUUUUAUUGAAAAAAUGGAUAAAAAUGACCUUUUGUGCAAUGAAAUGUGGAAAUAGGGGUAAAAAUGUUAAAAAAUUAAAGAUAGGAACGUUUUGCAUAAUAACAUUGAAAUGUAGGGACAUUUUGUGCUAUUUACCCUUUUUUGUGAGUGUCUGAAUAUAUUGACUUUGUUUCAUUUUUUAAGCUAUUUUACCUCUUUACUUUUUUUUUUUUUUUUUUUUUUUGAAUUACCUUCAUACGAAUGUAAACUAUCUUAUAUAAUAUAUUAAAGAUUUUAUAGUUAUAUGUGCUAUUUAUACUACUACUACUACUACUACUACUAUUAUUAUUAUUAUUAUUAUUAUUAUUAUUAUUAUUAUUAUUAUUAUUAUUAUAAAAACUAUAUAAUAUUCUUAUUAAUGUUUGUAAACGUUCACAGCCAAUUGCUUCUCUCAUAAACCCUCUAUUUGGCCUCAUUAUUUAAAACUUUUUUUUUAAAACUCAAUUUAAAUCUAACAAUUCAUUGGAUCCGUAACUUUUAUCAAUUUUUCAAUCACAUAUUUCAUCAACUUUUAUCAAAAUCUAUUAAAAACGUAAUUUUUAUUUAAACCAAACAAGGGCAUAAUUGUAAGUGAAAGAUUUCAUGAAUGGAGAUGUAAGUAACGUCUGCUUUAUUCAUUUUAAAUUCCCUAAAAUUUUUAGUUUCUAAACGAAAUCUUUAAAUAUUAUAUAGAGAAUCAAUUAAAUUUUUGAAUGGCUUCGUGGAAGUAAUUUUUUGAAAUUUAAGUUUAUAUUAUUUCAUUGGCUUUGAAAGAUUUUAUAAUAUAAUUUGUUAGGUGUUGUCAUACUUGGCCAACCUACGUGGGCCUGUGGCCCACUCAAUCUGAACCACGUGGCACUCCAUCCGAAGUGGUUUGUAUAUCCAAGGCCCUUCAUGCUGAGGCCUGUGAAGAUAGCCGAAACCCCAAAGCAGAAGUACUACAUGAGUGGCAAAAGCCCCGAAUCCGAAGCUGAAGCAGAAGUCCCCGAACCAUGAAGGAACGUCUUCCAUGAUCACUUCUCCCAAGAGAUUUUCUACGUAAAGAUCUUUUUAGAAUAAGUGAUGAAACGUUUGUCAUAAGUAUACAUGUCAAGUCUUGUCAUUAGUAUAGGGGUUCUGCAUAAGCAAUAAAUGCGCAGUAAGCUAGCAAGCCAAGGAUGAUGCUUAGGAUUGGAUGUUUGAAUUAAAGAGAUAAGGUCACGUGCUACCUCAUCUAAAGGCUGCCAUUUCACAUGUAACACUAUAAAUACUUCCCUUGUAUAACAUUGAAGGACGAA
rnacentral:lncRNA from 1 species